AAUAAUAAUAAUAAUAAUAAUAGGAACCCUGGCCCCAAUCAACAGAAUCAGAUCGCAGAAUCCCAUACGUUCGUUCAUACAUUCCGAGAGAGAUAUGGCUUGUGCUGGAGAUAAAAGAGUUAGGGAUGUGGACGAUAAACCGAAUUACAUUGUGAGAAUAACUUCCUCUGAUGAAGAUGAUGACGACGAUUACGAUUCGAUUGAAUACGUUUCCUCUCCUAGGAAGCCGACUGAGGAAGAAAUUUUUGACUAUUACAGACAGGCCUUCAGCAGUAAGGGAUUCGAUGUUCCAGAGACUGGAUGCUUAUUAGCUGGCGGAAUUGGACCCUAUCGGAUAAUAAAUGAGACACGUGAGCAACGUGUGACCGAUAUGGCUAAGCAAGCUUUGCAAGUCUAUAAUGACGAAAAUAAUGCGCGUUUUGAGUUUGAUCACCUUGUCAAGGCUAAUAGCCAAGCUGUUGCUGGCCUUAUGUUUUACAUUACUUUUAUGGCACGCUCGGGAGAUAAUGCGUCUCAAACCUUUUAUGCCACAGUGUGGAAAAAAAUAUGUAAUCAGGGAACAGAAGUCCAGAGUUGUGUGAUGGAAACUGAGCAGGAAACUGGUACAUCUCAGGUGUAAGUUUUGGAGAUGAGUCUAGGGUCCCUGUUCUAGUUGUGUUUAUGGUUUGUUGCUUCUCUGAUGCUAUUAUAUAAUUUUAAUACUUAUAAAAGAGUCUAGGGCUCUGCUCUAGUUGUGUUUUUUGGUUUGUUCCUUCAAGAAAGAAAACUCUCAGAUACUAUUAUAUAAUUUUAAUACUUGUGAAAUAGUACCAUGUUAAUUGACCAUUGUUUCCAGAAUUUGUGGGGAUUUUUAUUUAUUUAUUGUACUCAGUUCUGAGUUCUUAAUAUUA